GGCUUAUGCAGCAGUCAUUACGUUGAAAUGCUGUAUAUUUAGAAACUGAAAUGUUGGGGCAGAAUGGGCUGUUUUUAUUGUGUGAACGGCCUCUGUAACACCCUCCUGUUCACGUGCAUCUGGGUGAGAACCCGCACUGAAUGCGUACGGAACCAUCGCGAGGAGGACGAGCGCUCGCAGCAUCAGCAACACACACUUCCACACGCGCGCGCGCACACACACACACACACACAUAGGCUACACAAAGAGGUCAGCUCGCGUGCUGCGACUUGAACGGAAGACAACCGAGUGCCGCGAGACACAAUAAAGGAGGCAUAGGAACUGAUCCCCGUGCCGUCACACACGCUGAAGAGAAGACAGGAUCAACAGAUAAACAGUGGCAAUUAUAUAUAUAUAUUUUUUUUUUUUUUUUGAGUGAUUUUUGUUGUUUUUGGCAUGAUGGAUGAUCCUGCUCUCCUCAUCCUCCUCCUGGAGCAGGGUGAGCGCUCUCUUGAGGACCACACAAGAGACUUUUUGGACCUUGCCAACCAAACACACUACCUGGAUAACUGCCUCACCACGUUCUACCAUGUGGGACUAAACACCACCGUUAAGGCAAAGUUGUCUGGGGACGGUCCUCGAGAGAGCCUAGCCGCCUAUGUGGAGUGGGUGCUGGUAAAUAACAACUCGCUGCUGACUCCCUGCUACCUAGAUGAGGAACUCACCAGCCCCACUCCUGAGCCAGCCAUCAUACCAGCACAUCACCGAGUGUGAGCACGAGCCCACCUCAGACACGGAGGUGUGAUCGAAGAGCCUGAGGAAACAGAGCCAAUCACCGCCCCGGAGCCCACGCCCGCCAAUAAGUCUGAAAGUGAAAGUGAAAGUGAAGUGACGUGUGGCCGAAUAUAGUGAGCCAUAUUCGGAAUUUGUGCUCUGCAUUUAACCCUUCCAAGUGCACACACACAGUAGUGAACACACACACACCUGGAGUGAACUAGGUGUGCGAACCGGCCACAACAUUGGAGUAUUCAUGGAAGACGAGGUAAAAGAGGAAAGCCACACCCACAUCUCCACUGCUGAGGGUGAGCUGCAGCUGGUUUCUGUGAAUUCUCUUUCUUAUUCUUUGUCUGUGUCAAGUAUUGCUUGUUUUGAUUUCUUGCUUGUUCUGUCCAACCCUUAGCCUUUUGAUCCCUCGCUAGUUCCAGCACUGAAUUCUCUUGAAGUCUCUUAAACUCCCACCCAGCCUCCCUAUCCCACCUCUGCCUUCUUGUAUCUGGUUUUCAGUUCCUGUCCCAUCACCUGUCUGUCUUUCUGUUAACUCUAUGCCAGCUGCAGCUUAUGCCAUUACCAUCCAGCCUCAAGAUCAUCUUCAUCUAUCUGGGACUAUCCUGCUGUUGGCACUUGUGGACCUCAUCACCACUUCUGUACAGCCUUCGUCUAGCACCUACCCAUCUCCCAGAUGCACACCCUCAGUCUGCAUCUGCCUAUGUGGGUUCACAUCGGGGCUUCCUUCCAUCAGCUCCGCCUUGGUGUGAGGUUCCUCUGUCUCCGCCUUGGUUCCUAGCUUCCUCGUCUCCACCAUGGCCCCUCAUCCCAACGGCUCCACUAGGCUCCCUUCUCCAUCCUGCUCAACCUUGGUCAGUCAUUGACCAUCCGCUGCCUCGGGAUUGCAUUCCUCUGGCUUUGCCUUGUCAUUCCACCCCUCUGGCUCUGUCAGACUCCUCCUUCCCUCUGUCUUCGCCUUUGUCCUCAGUUGCUCCGGCUCCACCACGGUCCAGGCUCAGCGUCUGAUCGGCUCCACCUGGGUCACUAUUGCUGCCGGCCUCAUUGCAGGAGCUUGCACCCCCAGGAUCCUCCGCCCAGGCAUCAUCCAUGGCUCCUCCCUCCUGCAUCUACACCUGGUCUCCACAGCGCGAGGUCGGGCCUUCCGGGAGGGGGCGUUCUGUCACAGUCUUGUCUUUGUUUUAGUCUUCCCUGUUUGGCCUAGUUUUCCCUCAUGUGUCGGAUUAGUUAUCUCUCUCACCUGUAAUUGUUAAUUAUCUCAUUAAUCCUCUGCCUUAUUUAAACCCUAGGCUCAUUUGAGAUGAGCAAAAGUUGCACAGAACCGAUCACAGCAAGAUGCAUGCAAGUUAGAAAUGUGUCCCAGUGCAGUCCGCCUUGCUCUGAUGUUAUGCUGACGAAUGCCAAAAAUCUCUCGCCAGAUCCGUCGUGCAGUGGAGCGCAGUUGCUCUCCCCCAGCUGCGCUGACCAAAAGCAUGAUGGGAAAUGACUUGCUGACAUCACAGUUUAAUGCUCAUUGGUUCAAACAACCGUGAGGUUGCGUUCUCUUCUAAAAUGUUUUAUUUUUUUAUCUGAUAUCAUGUGAUUGUUUAAAUUAUGCAUGAAUAUUCCCAAACACUAUGACAGUGCAAUUUCUGUGUGAGAUAUGUAGUUGUUGUCAUGUUUCUGAAAAAUACUAAAAUACAUGUAUGUAUUAAAGUAAAAAUGGAUGAUAAAUACGUCUUUUGAAU
ensembl:lncRNA